CUGGAGUGUUUGCUGGAGAUGUGGAAGUUGAUCAGGUUUUCUCCAACGAUGAUGUAAGACACACCAUAACCAUCAUCAGCCACCUAGACGAGGGAAGAAAAAAAAGACAAGAUUUAGUUGAGUGAGGAGCUACCGGUCCAAAGCCGCCUCCAGAUGACACAUAUUCAGGGUGUCUGACCAGGUCAAACAGCUCCACCUGCUGCAGCGGCGUCUGACUGGUGGACAGCCUCCACGGCUCAGACAGCACCUACAAAACAAAGACCUGAAAGUUAUCAUAUUAUAAUAA